UGUCACUUGUACAUCAUACAAACAGCAUACAGCAUACAUCAUAAAACAGAUGUAUGCUGUUUUAAAUAAAUUACUUCAUGUCAUUUUUCAGUUCUUCUGAGUAAGGAACUCCCUUUGGAUAAUCUGGGAAUUCCAUGGAAUGGUUGGAGGAUUGUAAGCCAAUCAUUUAGACUUUUAUAAAGCAAUGAGUUCUGAAUGGGCAGAUUCCUGUGUUUGCAAGGAACUCAUUGCAAAACCAGGGACUUAAGUAUUGGCUUUUGACACAUACAUUCUAACGUGACUGUGCAUCUGGAAGGAAAAAACGUAAAUCCAAGUAUCAUCAAGCAAAGCAAUGGGCUUCACCAAUAUAUCCUAAGUGUGUGUAAAAAGAAAUAAAAGAAGAACAAUUUCAGCAGCAAAAGAGCUUGUUUCCUGGGAUUGUAAUUUUCACUUGCACCAUUACCCUGUCUGCACUGCAAGAUAAAAGAAUCCCAUCCUUUCAAGUGACCAACUAUAGCUUGCAAAAUUACCAAUGACAGAUGAGGAGCAGCAACCAGACUGAAGGAACAUUCAGAAAAGAAACUAACUGCAGGAAUAUGAAGUGGCAAAGCGGUAUUCACACCAUUUUAAAACUUCAAACCAAGUCUCUCUGCCUUGUUAUAUACAAUUUUUUUAUACCUUUUUAUAUAUAAUUUAAGUAAAAAUAUGUAAUAGCUUUUUUAAAGCAAAAAUAAAUGGAAGGCAAGUAAAAUAUAUUUUAAAAUUCACUGAUUGUUAUAAAACAUGAAACUAAAAAAUAAAGGUCAUUUUGGUAUGCUGAA